AUUCCAGAUCUUCCACAACAAUUAUUAAACUGAUUUUCUUUCAAUGUUUUUUUGAUUAUUAUUUGAAGCAUUCAACGUCAACUAUUGUAGAGAAAAACCGUGUUUACUUCCUAGUUAUGUACUGGAUGAUGAGAAUCAGUAGACUGAAAAAUAUUUUUUACGUUAUCACUAUCACCGAACACAAUAUGUUAUUUUGAGCAUUGCAGUAUGUUCAAGGUAGAGUUUAGCAGGAACUUACAAAAAAGGCUUACAUUUUUAUUUGUAAAAACUUAUAUUUUUAUUUAUGCAUGCGAAACGAUUUUUUUAUUUUUAGCAAUCUGAUUGGCUGCAGCAGUGGUUAAAAAGAGAUACUUUUUUCGCAAUGUAUUUGUUUACGAAGUGGCGAAAUCAUUAGCAGAAGUAAACACAAACGCGGAAGGCAUUACCACGUUUCUGAUUGGUCAAUUACUUACUCUUCACUAGACGUUUCUGAUUCGUUGCGCUUUCUUCGUGGUCUCUUCGCCGUACUAGGAUCUGUCGAAAGAUUCGCCAGCUAAAUGGAAAAUAAAAAAACUUGUCAAGAGAAAGAGGGUUAAGGCAUAGAAUAAGGAAUAUGAAGAAUGGAGGCACCCAUAAUACUUUUUAUCCACGCUUAUCUUUUUACGUAUAUGUGAUUACAAUAACGACAGCAGUCAAUUGGUUGUUUCUGACCAAUAGCAAACGAUCAAAAGAACAAUCGAAGCCAGUAAAGUUAUUAAAUAUACAACACUGAGUUGCAGAACGUGGUUGCUUAUUCCUAAUUAUGCGGUUAGGGACAGUAAAUAAUAAGAAUCGGAGCAUAAAGCUGGGUUAAAGAAAGAAAAACAAAAAAAUAACGAGAAAAAGGACCAAGCAAGGAAAAAAAAUGGACGAAUAGAUUUCGCGGAAAUUCAUAAUAAUAAAUAAUAAUAUUAAUAAUAAAAGUAACGUUUCAUUAAAAGCUACUGGCCACACACAAGAGCCCUUUAACAAACCAAUCAGAUGUUUCAAAGCCGAUUUUCAAAUAGUGAAAGGCAUUCCUAUCAGAGGAAAUAGACAAAACAAAAAGCAUUUUUGCGCAUGCGUCAUACCUGAUGAAACAUAUUUCUUUUUCUAAUUAUGGCGUAGAUCAAAUGUGAAUUACCUAAAAACAGAUCAUCCAUUGUUAGAAAAAAAAUGCUUGUGUAGGAGUAAAUCAACAUUUUUAAUCAACUUUCUUCAUAAUUCCAAUAAAAUAAAGAUUAUUUCACAUGCAUUCAUUGUUUGAAUGAAAAAUGUUGCAAUUCUAAACUGUAUAUUUGAAGUCAAAUCCGACUCAUAUGCAGCGGAUAUUUAUCAAAGAUUUAAAACGCAAUUAAAACGCACAAUACAAUAUGUAUUAGAUAUAAUUUAAA